rnacentral:rRNA from 1 species
AUUGAACGCUGGCGGCAGGCCUAACACAUGCAAGUCGAGCGGAGCGGCGGACGGGUGAGUAAUGCCUAGGAAUCUGCCUGGUAGUGGGGGAUAACGUCCGGAAACGGGCGCUAAUACCGCAUACUAUCAGAUGAGCCUAGGUCGGAUUAGCUAGUUGGUGGGGUAAAGGCCUACCGAGGCGACGAUCCGUAACUGGUCUGAGAGGAUGAUCAGUCACAAUGGAACUGAGAGAGGGUCCAGACGCGUACGGGAGGCAGCAGUGGGGAAGAUUGCACAAUGGGCGGGAGCCUGAUGCAGCGACGCCGCGUGGGGGAUGACGGCCUUCGGGUUGUAAACUCCUUUCACCAGCGACGCGGUAGAUGGAGAAGAAGCACCGGCUAACUACGUGCCAGCAGCCGCGGUAAUAC